ensembl:lncRNA
CUCAGAGCCCCUGGAAGCCUGCUUUUCCUGACCCCCAUUCUGAGUAGGGAGGCUGCUGCCACAGUUGCUCCAGGAUGUAACCUGGGUCUGCCCCUCGCUUUCAGAAAGGGAAGGCCCUCGGAAGGCCUUGAGCACCUGCCACCUUCACCCCUUCUGGGCUGAGGCCCCGGCACCCCACUGAUGGGCACAGAGCCCGCUUACAACUUCUCCACGGCUGCUCACCGGUGUGACCUGGGAUCCCAACCUUGUGUGGGCACAGCUACUGAGGGCAGGGGCACAACCUGCCCCUGGAGAGCAGUCUGCUACGCCUGCCUUGACACUGCAGUCUCUUUGGUCAGAUGUGGGUGGCUUGCAGGCUGAGGUUAUCCUCAUUCCGGCCCUGUUGUCCUCGUCCACUCUGCUGAUCGUCAGCUGCAUGCUAUGGAGGACAUGCUGCCGGUGGUCUCGGGUCACCCACCCCAGCCCGCCAUCCCCAUCAGGAGCCCAGGUAAGCCACUCAAGGACUGAAAGACUGGAAGUUUCCAUUUCUGUUUUAUCCUUGGUCUCUUUGUGCACAACACUGGGGAAAAGACCUAUCACAUCUGUAUUGCCCAAAGGUGUGACAUGUAACCCUUAAAUCAAGAGAAGAAACCCCUCUACUCUCUUGAGGCAAUAAGCAAUAACGUGCUGAGCCAGAUAAAGCCUCGCACAGGUUGCAGCCAUGUUGUGUGGCCUCAUAGCCUCCUGUACCAUUGUCCAGUUUCUGUUGGAUAUUACUCACAAACCCUUGGCUAAAGGAAGUCCAUUCUGCAGCCCCUGUAACUGUGGCUCUGGGUGACUGUGAGACCAAGGCUGCCCUUGGCCACACACUGCCCCCUUAGCUCCCUGAAAACCCCCUUUCCCUGACCCGAGGGACUUCCACAGGGAACCUCACCAAGGAACAGGAAGUCCUGUUCCAGGGACUAGAUGAGAGCAUGCGGUUUCACCCCCAUUGGGGUGUGGCUAAUCACAUUAUCCAAGGCUUGCUGUCCUUAGAAUGUUCCACCUGUUAUAUCUUCUUUUUUCAAGAUUUUAUUUAUUUAUUUAUUUGACAGAGAGAGAGCACAAGCAGGGGGAGUGGGAGAAGGAGAAGCAGGCUCCCCACUGAUCAGGGAGCCUGACAAAAGGCUCGAUCCCAGGACUCUGGGAUCAUGACCCGAGCUGAAGGAGACAUGUAAGCAACAGAGCCACCCAGGCACCCCACCGCUUGUCAUAUCUUAAAACACUCACACCACCUGUGCUUUCCUGAGGCCAUGGAAUUUCACUUAUUACAUGGUUCUUCUGGAGAAUAUGGCCCCAAGCCCGAUAGGCAAGGCUUGGAUGGCAUGGAAAUUGCCGUGCCCUGAUCCCCUGCCCAGCCUGGAGCCUCCCCUCUACUUUAUCCACUGCCUGAUCUCUGGGAUUCAGAGGGACAACAAAGGGAGGAAGCGGGUAUCACACAGUUAAUACAAAAGCCCAGAAUUCUCACUAGUUCCCUAAGAUCUCAGAUGUUUGUUCUGACUGUCUGCCAGCCACAGGUUCAUGGCUUCUUCCACCCAUCUAAUGAUAACCAAGUAUGUUGGGUGCUGGGUUCACAACGACAAAUGAGGUCCAGACUAGUAAUCUGUGCUUGGAACAGAACAAUGACAAUGAGAAGUGCUUGGAUGGGGUCCAGGAGUUUGUGAAAGCAUAGAGAAGAGACCAUUAAACAGCCAGAAUUAAGGAGAUUUCCAAGUGGCAUCUAAACCAAGAACUGAAGAAUGACUAACAACUGGUUGGAAGGAAGGUGGAAAAGGUAGCGGGAACAGAAGGUACAGUGUAGGGGUUGGCAAAAUACGGCCCACUUCCUGGUUUUAUAAAUAAAGUUUU